GACAGAGGUGGCAAGCGUUGUUCGGAUUUACUGGGCGUAAAGGGUGCGUAGGUGGUUAGGUAAGACCUGUGGGAAAGACCUGGGCUUAACCCAGGAAGGUCGCAGGUGACUGCCUAGCUAGAGGGCGGGAGAGGAGCGCGGAAUUCCCGGUGUAGCGGUGAAAUGCGUAGAGAUCGGGAGGAAGGCCGGUGGCGAAGGCGGCGCUCUGGAACGUUCCUGACACUGAGGCACGAAAGCGUGGGGAGCAAACAGG
rnacentral:rRNA from 2 species